AUAGGGUCAAGCGACUAAGUGCAUCUGGUGGAUGCCUUGGCGAUCAUAGGCGAUGAAGGACGUGUAAGCCUGCGAAAAGCGCGGGGGAGCUGGCAAUAGAGCUUUGAUCCCGCGAUGUCCGAAUGGGGAAACCCCUCCGCAAGGAGAUCCCUGACUGAAUCCAUAGGUCAGAGGAGGCGAACUCAGCGAACUGAAACAUCUAAGUAGCUGAAGGAAAAGAAAUCAACCGAGAUUCCGUAAGUAGUGGCGAGCGAACGCGGAACAGCCUGACUGUGUUAUGAGUUGCGUUAGUGGAAGGUUCAUGGAAAGGACCGCCAUAGUGGGUGAUAGCCCCGUACACGAAAACGCAUCGCAAGAACUAGGCAGUCGACAAGUAGGGCGGGACACGAGAAAUCCUGUCUGAAGAUGGGGGGACCAUCCUCCAAGGCUAAAUACUCAUGAUCGACCGAUAGUGAACCAGUACCGUGAGGGAAAGGCGAAAAGAACCCCGGGAGGGGAGUGAAAUAGAACCUGAAACCGGAUGCAUACAAACAGUGGGAGCGGACUUGUUCCGUGACUGCGUACCUUUUGUAUAAUGGGUCAGCGACUUACGUUCAGUAGCAAGCUUAACCGAAUAGGGGAGGCGUAGGGAAACCGAGUCCGAAUAGGGCGUCUUAGUUGCUGGGCGUAGACCCGAAACCGAGUGAUCUAUCCAUGGCCAGGAUGAAGGUGCGGUAACACGCACUGGAGGUCCGAACCCACUAGUGUUGCAAAACUAGGGGAUGAGCUGUGGAUAGGGGUGAAAGGCUAAACAAACUCGGAGAUAGCUGGUUCUCCCCGAAAACUAUUUAGGUAGUGCGUCAAGUAUCACUUCCGGGGGUAAAGCACUGUUAUGGCUAGGGGGUCAUUGCGAUUUACCAAACCAUGGCAAACUCUGAAUACCGGAAAGUGCGAGCUUGGCAGACAGACAGUGGGUGCUAACGUCCAUUGUCAAGAGGGAAACAACCCAGACCGCCAGCUAAGGUCCCAAAUGAUCAGUUAAGUGGUAAACGAAGUGGGAAGGCCUAGACAGCCAGGAUGUUGGCUUAGAAGCAGCCAUCAUUUAAAGAAAGCGUAAUAGCUCACUGGUCGAGUCGUCCUGCGCGGAAGAUGUAACGGGGCUCAAACUGAUAACCGAAGCUGCGGAUGCACAGUUUACUGUGCGUGGUAGGGGAGCGUUCUGUAGGUCUGUGAAGGUGUCUCGUAAGGGAUGCUGGAGAUAUCAGAAGUGCGAAUGCUGACAUGAGUAGCGAUAAAGCGGGUGAAAAGCCCGCUCGCCGAAAGCCCAAGGUUUCCUACGCAACGUUCAUCGGCGUAGGGUGAGUCGGCCCCUAAGGCGAGGCUGAAAAGCGUAGUCGAUGGGAAACGGGUUAAAAUUCCCGUACUUUUGUGUAGUGCGAUGUGGGGACGGAGAAGGUUAGGUCAUCAGACUGUUGGAAUAGUCUGUUUAAGCCGGUAGGCGUGAAGGGUAGGCAAAUCCGCUCUUCUUUAACGCCGAGAAGUGAUGACGAGGGUCUACGGACCUGAAGUGACUGAUACCACGCUUCCAGGAAAAGCCACUAAGCUUCAGCUACACAAGAACCGUACCGCAAACCGACACAGGUGGGCAGGAUGAGAAUUCUAAGGCGCUUGAGAGAACUCAGGAGAAGGAACUCGGCAAAUUGAUACCGUAACUUCGGGAGAAGGUAUGCCUGUUGGGGUGUAGUCCCUUGCGGAUGAAGCUUUGACAGGUCGCAGAGAAUCGGUGGCUGCGACUGUUUAACAAAAACACAGCACUGUGCCAACACGAAAGUGGACGUAUACGGUGUGACGCCUGCCCGGUGCCGGAAGGUUAAGUGAUGGGGUGCAAGCUCUUGAUCGAAGCCCCGGUAAACGGCGGCCGUAACUAUAACGGUCCUAAGGUAGCGAAAUUCCUUGUCGGGUAAGUUCCGACCCGCACGAAUGGCGUAACGAUGGCCACACUGUCUCCUCCUGAGACUCAGCGAAGUUGAAGUGUUUGUGAAGAUGCAAUCUCCCCGCUGCUAGACGGAAAGACCCCGUGAACCUUUACUGUAGCUUUGCAUUGGACUUUGAACAGACUUGUGUAGGAUAGGUGGGAGGCUUUGAAGCCAGGACGCUAGUUCUGGUGGAGCCGUCCUUGAAAUACCACCCUGGUGUGUUUGAGGUUCUAACCUUGGUCCGUGAUCCGGAUUGGGGACAGUGCAUGGUAGGCAGUUUGACUGGGGCGGUCUCCUCCCAAAGUGUAACGGAGGAGUUCGAAGGUUACCUAGGUACGGUCGGAAAUCGUGCUGAUAGUGCAAUGGCAAAAGGUAGCUUAACUGCGAGACCGACAAGUCGAGCAGGUGCGAAAGCAGGACAUAGUGAUCCGGUGGUUCUGAAUGGAAGGGCCAUCGCUCAACGGAUAAAAGGUACUCCGGGGAUAACAGGCUGAUACCGCCCAAGAGUUCACAUCGACGGCGGUGUUUGGCACCUCGAUGUCGGCUCAUCACAUCCUGGGGCUGUAGCCGGUCCCAAGGGUAUGGCUGUUCGCCAUUUAAAGUGGUACGUGAGCUGGGUUCAAAACGUCGUGAGACAGUUUGGUCCCUAUCUGCAGUGGGCGUUGGAAGUUUGACGGGGGCUGCUCCUAGUACGAGAGGACCGGAGUGGACGAACCUCUGGUGUACCGGUUGUGACGCCAGUCGCAUUGCCGGGUAGCUAAGUUCGGAAGAGAUAACCGCUGAAAGCAUCUAAGCGGGAAACUUGCCUGAAGAUGAGACUUCCCUGGAGGCUUGACCUCCCUGAAGAGUCGUUCGAGACCAGGACGUUGAUAGGUCGGGUGUGGAAGCGCUGUGAGGCGUGAAGCUAACCGAUACUAAUUGCUCGUGAGGCUUGAUCCUAU
rnacentral:rRNA from 1 species